AUACCCUAAGAAAUUCGUCCCAUUUCAGUCAUAAAUAAUUUUUGUUCGAAUUUUAGUCAAGAAAUUACAGCAACAAUAGGUUAAGUCAAGAAAUUACAGCAACAAUAAUUGUUCGAAUUACGUCUUUUUCUGGGUUCAAGUCAAGAAAUUACAGCAACAAAAAUUCGAGCAAUAACUGAAAUUUUCGAGUGGAAAAAUCGCUUAAUUUCGCCCCAAAAAACCCGAGGAAGUUCAAGCAAAUUACAGCAACAACAAUUGAAGUUCGAUUUCGGCUCGACAUUGUUGAAUUUUUGAAGUCAAUUCCACCUAUGUACUUGGAUGAAAACAAGUCUUUGAUUCUGAAGAUUGUGGAAAGCCAGAAUUCGGGGAAGAUUAAUAAGUGUGCUGAGUAAGCUUUAUUUGCAAACUUUGGCUAUUCUUACAUGAUUCAUAAUUGUGUCUCUGCUUGGUAAUUUUGCAAACUAGUGCGAAAUGGUGGUAUGCAAAACGAUUUCUACAUCCUGACAUUGUGGCACCAUAUGAUUACAUAUUUAUCUGGGACGAAGAUUUGGGAGUGGAUAAUUUUGAUUCUGAAAAAUACGUUGAUUUGGUUAAGAAACAUGGUUUGGAAAUUUCACAGCCUAGUGUGGAUCCUAAUAGUCCGUUUACAUGGCAGAUGACAAGGAAAAGACAUGACAGUGAAGUUCACAAGAGCACAGAGGAGAAACCAGGAUGUUAAAUUUCAGUUAAAUUGUUCAAUUUUUGCUACAAAAAUGGAGAAUUAUUCUUCCAAGAAAAUUGAAGUUUCUGCCCUAAACCCCAAUUUACAAUCAAGAGGUGCUUUGGUUG